UUUAAUGAUAAAAAAAAACUUGUGUACGUGUAUUCAGUUUUCAGUGGAUUUGACUUACUCUACACAAUGAUAUGUUUAGAGAAACCACAUUAUUCAUUUAAGUUGAUGACACUAAAACUUCAUCAUAAACUAUAACUAAAUCAUUUACCAUAAACACAGACGGACGGAUGAACAGACGUAAAGACUUUUAAAUAUAAUGGCCAUCUCUAUCGUCGACGGAGC
rnacentral:lncRNA from 1 species